GUGCAUAUGAUGGAAAAACUUGAACUUCCUGAGGCUUGUGAUGUCUUCAAAGGAACCACUGAUGCAC
ensembl:snoRNA SNORD42 Small nucleolar RNA SNORD42